UCUAUUUUGACAGAAAAAUGUGUUAAAUUUAGGAUUUAUUUAUGUAAAAUUAUUACAAAUAGAA
rnacentral:tRNA from 1 species